rnacentral:tRNA from 1 species
GGGGUUGUGGCUCAAGUGGUAGGUAGAGUGCUUGCCUAGCACGCAUGAGACACUGGGUUCGAUCCUCAGCACCACA